ACAAACUUGGUCAUUUAGAGGAAGUAAAAGUCGUAACAAGGUCUCCGUUGGUGAACCAGCGGAGGGAUCAUUACCGAGUUUACAACUCCCAAACCCACUGUGAACCUUACCACAACGUUGCUUCGGCGGGGUCAGCCCCGGGGCCCGGCCCCGGAAUCAGGCGCCCGCCGGGGGACCCAUAAACUCUCUUUGUCUGUACGCAUAUGUAUACUCUGAGUGGCUCAUAGAGCAAAAAAUGAAUCAAAACUUUCAACAACGGAUCUCUUGGUUCUGGCAUCGAUGAAGAACGCAGC
rnacentral:misc_RNA from 1 species